AUUGAACGCUGGCGGCAUGCUUUACACAUGCAAGUCGAACGGUAACAGGCCGCAAGGUGCUGACGAGUGGCGAACGGGUGAGUAAUGCAUCGGAACGUGCCCAGCCGUGGGGGAUAACGCAGCGAAAGCUGUGCUAAUACCGCAUACGAUCUAUGGAUGAAAGCGGGGGACCGUAAGGCCUCGCGCGAUUGGAGCGGCCGAUGUCAGAUUAGGUAGUUGGUGGGGUAAAGGCUCACCAAGCCAACGAUCUGUAGCUGGUCUGAGAGGACGACCAGCCACACUGGGACGGAGACACGGCCCAGACUCCUACGGGAGGCAGCAGUGGGGAAUUUUGGACAAUGGGCGCAAGCCUGAUCCAGCAAUGCCGCGUGCAGGAAGAAGGCCUUCGGGUUGUAAACUGCUUUUGUACGGAACGAAACGGCGAGCUCUAAUACAGUUUGCUAAUGACGGUACCGUAAGAAUAAGCACCGGCUAACUGCGUGCCAGCCGCCGCCGUAA
rnacentral:rRNA from 1 species